AGCGUACACGGUGGAUGCCCUGGCAGUCAGAGGCGAUGAAGGACGUGCUAAUCUGCGAUAAGCGUCGGUAAGGUGAUAUGAACCGUUAUAACCGGCGAUUUCCGAAUGGGGAAACCCAGUGUGUUUCGACACACUAUCAUUAACUGAAUCCAUAGGUUAAUGAGGCGAACCGGGGGAACUGAAACAUCUAAGUACCCCGAGGAAAAGAAAUCAACCGAGAUUCCCCCAGUAGCGGCGAGCGAACGGGGAGCAGCCCAGAGCCUGAAUCAGUGUGUGUGUUAGUGGAAGCGUCUGGAAAGGCGCGCGAUACAGGGUGACAGCCCCGUACACAAAAAUGCACAUGCUGUGAGCUCGAUGAGUAGGGCGGGACACGUGGUAUCCUGUCUGAAUAUGGGGGGACCAUCCUCCAAGGCUAAAUACUCCUGACUGACCGAUAGUGAACCAGUACCGUGAGGGAAAGGCGAAAAGAACCCCGGCGAGGGGAGUGAAAAAGAACCUGAAACCGUGUACGUACAAGCAGUGGGAGCACGCUUAGGCGUGUGACUGCGUACCUUUUGUAUAAUGGGUCAGCGACUUAUAUUCUGUAGCAAGGUUAACCGAAUAGGGGAGCCGAAGGGAAACCGAGUCUUAACUGGGCGUUAAGUUGCAGGGUAUAGACCCGAAACCCGGUGAUCUAGCCAUGGGCAGGUUGAAGGUUGGGUAACACUAACUGGAGGACCGAACCGACUAAUGUUGAAAAAUUAGCGGAUGACUUGUGGCUGGGGGUGAAAGGCCAAUCAAACCGGGAGAUAGCUGGUUCUCCCCGAAAGCUAUUUAGGUAGCGCCUCGUGAAUUCAUCUCCGGGGGUAGAGCACUGUUUCGGCAAGGGGGUCAUCCCGACUUACCAACCCGAUGCAAACUGCGAAUACCGGAGAAUGUUAUCACGGGAGACACACGGCGGGUGCUAACGUCCGUCGUGAAGAGGGAAACAACCCAGACCGCCAGCUAAGGUCCCAAAGUCAUGGUUAAGUGGGAAACGAUGUGGGAAGGCCCAGACAGCCAGGAUGUUGGCUUAGAAGCAGCCAUCAUUUAAAGAAAGCGUAAUAGCUCACUGGUCGAGUCGGCCUGCGCGGAAGAUGUAACGGGGCUAAACCAUGCACCGAAGCUGCGGCAGCGACGCUUAUGCGUUGUUGGGUAGGGGAGCGUUCUGUAAGCCUGCGAAGGUGUGCUGUGAGGCAUGCUGGAGGUANCUGUGAGGUAUGCUGGAGGUAUCAGAAGUGCGAAUGCUGACAUAAGUAACGAUAAAGCGGGUGAAAAGCCCGCUCGCCGGAAGACCAAGGGUUCCUGUCCAACGUUAAUCGGGGCAGGGUGAGUCGACCCCUAAGGCGAGGCCGAAAGGCGUAGUCGAUGGGAAACAGGUUAAUAUUCCUGUACUUGGUGUUACUGCGAAGGGGGGACGGAGAAGGCUAUGUUGGCCGGGCGACGGUUGUCCCGGUUUAAGCGUGUAGGCUGGUUUUCCAGGCAAAUCCGGAAAAUCAAGGCUGAGGCGUGAUGACGAGGCACUACGGUGCUGAAGCAACAAAUGCCCUGCUUCCAGGAAAAGCCUCUAAGCAUCAGGUAACAUCAAAUCGUACCCCAAACCGACACAGGUGGUCAGGUAGAGAAUACCAAGGCGCUUGAGAGAACUCGGGUGAAGGAACUAGGCAAAAUGGUGCCGUAACUUCGGGAGAAGGCACGCUGAUAUGUAGGUGAAGCGACUUGCUCGUGGAGCUGAAAUCAGUCGAAGAUACCAGCUGGCUGCAACUGUUUAUUAAAAACACAGCACUGUGCAAACACGAAAGUGGACGUAUACGGUGUGACGCCUGCCCGGUGCCGGAAGGUUAAUUGAUGGGGUCAGCGCAAGCGAAGCUCUUGAUCGAAGCCCCGGUAAACGGCGGCCGUAACUAUAACGGUCCUAAGGUAGCGAAAUUCCUUGUCGGGUAAGUUCCGACCUGCACGAAUGGCGUAAUGAUGGCCAGGCUGUCUCCACCCGAGACUCAGUGAAAUUGAACUCGCUGUGAAGAUGCAGUGUACCCGCGGCAAGACGGAAAGACCCCGUGAACCUUUACUAUAGCUUGACACUGAACAUUGAGCCUUGAUGUGUAGGAUAGGUGGGAGGCUUUGAAGUGUGGACGCCAGUCUGCAUGGAGCCGACCUUGAAAUACCACCCUUUAAUGUUUGAUGUUCUAACGUUGACCCGUGAUCCGGGUUGCGGACAGUGUCUGGUGGGUAGUUUGACUGGGGCGGUCUCCUCCUAAAGAGUAACGGAGGAGCACGAAGGUUGGCUAAUCCUGGUCGGACAUCAGGAGGUUAGUGCAAUGGCAUAAGCCAGCUUGACUGCGAGCGUGACGGCGCGAGCAGGUGCGAAAGCAGGUCAUAGUGAUCCGGUGGUUCUGAAUGGAAGGGCCAUCGCUCAACGGAUAAAAGGUACUCCGGGGAUAACAGGCUGAUACCGCCCAAGAGUUCAUAUCGACGGCGGUGUUUGGCACCUCGAUGUCGGCUCAUCACAUCCUGGGGCUGAAGUAGGUCCCAAGGGUAUGGCUGUUCGCCAUUUAAAGUGGUACGCGAGCUGGGUUUAGAACGUCGUGAGACAGUUCGGUCCCUAUCUGCCGUGGGCGCUGGAGAACUGAGGGGGGCUGCUCCUAGUACGAGAGGACCGGAGUGGACGCAUCACUGGUGUUCGGGUUGUCAUGCCAAUGGCACUGCCCGGUAGCUAAAUGCGGAAGAGAUAAGUGCUGAAAGCAUCUAAGCACGAAACUUGCCCCGAGAUGAGUUCUCCCUGACUCCUUGA
rnacentral:rRNA from 1 species